rnacentral:rRNA from 1 species
AUUGAACGCUGGCGGCAGGCCUAACACAUGCAAGUCGAACGGUAACAGGAAGAAGCUUGCUUCUUUGCUGACGAGUGACGGACGGGUGAGUAAUGUCUGGGAAACUGCCUGAUGGAGGGGGAUAACUACUGGAAACGGUAGCUAAUACCGCAUAACGUCGCAAGACCAAAAAGGGGGACCUUCGGGCCUCUUGCCAUCGGAUGUGCCCAGAUGGGAUUAGCUAGUAGGUGGGGUAACGGCUCACCUAGGCGACGAUCCCUAGCUGGUCUGAGAGGAUGACCAGCCACACUGGAACUGAGACACGGUCCAGACCCCUACGGGAGGCAGCAGUGGGGAAUAUUGCACAAUGGGCGCAAGCCUGAUGCAGCCAUGCCGCGUGUAUGAAGAAGGCCUUCGGGUUGUAAAGUACUUUCAGCGGGGAGGAAGGGAGUAAAGUUAAUACCUUUGCUCAUUGACGCUACCCGCAGAAGAAGCACCGGCUAACUCCGUG